GCCCUACGGGACGCAGCAGUCGGGAAUAUUGCGCAAUGGAGGCAACUCUGACGCAGUGACGCCGCGUAUAGGAAGAAGGUUUUCGGAUUGUAAACUAUUGUCCUCAGGGAAGAAAAAAGACUGUACCUGAGAAGAAAGCUCCGGCUAACUACGUGCCAGCAGCCGCGGUAAUACGUAGGUGGCAAGCGUUGUCCGGAAUUACUGGGUGUAAAGGGAGCGCAGGCGGGAAGCCAAGUCAGCUGUGAAAACUACGGGCUUAACUUG
rnacentral:rRNA from 1 species